GUCAUUUUUGUGACGUUG
rnacentral:miRNA from 1 species